UUCAACCACGCUUAUCUUAUUCGGCUCCUUCCUCCUUUCCCUACAUUCCUCCUUUCCCUACAUUCAGACCAGAUUAACCUAACGUUGCGGCACCGCCUCUCUACUGGCCGUCUUUCGCUUCGUCUCCGCCGUACUGACCAUCAUCGCUUGAAUCGGCCGAUUCCGAACCAGGUUACUUUCUUUUGCACGAACCACGUUAGGGUAUUCCAUAAUUGGAUUUUUGCCGGCCUCUGUUCAACGAUUUUCUCAACUACAUGUUUUUUGGUUGUUUCAAUAUGAGUUUACUGAGGACACCGGUGUAUGUCGCACCACAUCACUCGAUUUUGACCGGAUCUGGGCUGGCUCUUGCAUCGUGCCAACUGGACUUUAAAAUAAAGCUUCGACACCCUUGGUAAAUAGGGUUUACUACAGUUAAAUUCAAAGAGAGAACCCAGAGAACACCGGUGUAUGUCGCUCCACAUCAGUCGAUUUUGACCGGAUCUGGGCUGGCUCCCGCAUCGUGUUACAUCAACCUUCCGAUUUGAACACAGGAACCCUUCUUGCUCCAGUUUUUCCCCGAUUUCUGGUUAGUCAUUAUCUUGCUCCAGUCCUUGCCCGAUUUUUUGUUACUUCGCUGAUAAAAUUCUUCAGUUAGUGAUCUGAAUUUCGGAAU
rnacentral:lncRNA from 1 species